rnacentral:rRNA from 1 species
UGUUCAGGGGUAAACCUGUGGUUCCCGAAAGUUCGAACGGGGAGAUUCAAUUGCCUUGCCGGUUAUGACCAUUUAACAGUGAUAUGUUUAUAUAUAUAUUAGAGACAUUAUAUGGCGGUUGCGGGUUUAUUCUCGUAGCUGUUUUCUAUGUAGUGCUCCACUGUUUUAUGAUAUAUAGUUUAUGGCCGGAGGCGUGCACUUCUCCCCUUGUAGGACGUCGUGACCCAUUGGAUUAUGUUGUCUAAGGCUUAUAAUGGAGACCGUGGCAUUAAGUUUCGGCUUUAAUGACCCGGACUUAUAAUGUCCCGACAUCUAUCCGAUGGUAUAUUUAUGAUGAUAGAUCGCUAUAAAUGCGUAUGAGCGUUCAGAUCCAUAACAAAUUCUUUAUAUGAUAAUAAUAGUGGAAAUCGGAUUUAACGCCGAUUCUGCACAUAUGGUAUUGAUAGUUGUGGUAUUCUCGAACCGUUCUUUAUCAUCAGUCAACGGCGUUUAUGUUUUGGGUAAUUACAGGACCCGUCUUGAAACACGGACCAAGGAGUCUAGCAUGUGCGCAAGUCAUUGGGAUUUUGUGAAACCUAAAGGCGUAAUGAAAGUGAAAUAUUUGUGAAUUCUCGUAAUUCACUGAAUUUAAGGGAAGAUGGGUAACGUUAUUUAUGUUACCUCGCAUUCCCGGGGCGUCGCGUACUUAUUGCAAGUUGCGGCGCACCAAGAGCGUACACGCUGGGACCCGAAAGAUGGUGAACUAUGCCUGGUCAGGAUGAAGUCAGGGGAAACCCUGAUGGAGGUCCGUAGCGAUUCUGACGUGCAAAUCGAUCGUAUGAACUGGGUAUAGGGGCGAAAGACUAAUCGAACCAUC